rnacentral:lncRNA from 1 species
CCUUUGUGUCUUUUGCACGCGCCAGUUCUAACGCUUCCUCCAUUUUUUUGCCACUGGAUCUGGUGCCGCGCUGCUCAGAUCUGACUCCUAUUUAGUACCAAACGACGAAUGCUUAAUUUCUUGGAUUAAGAGAUAGUUGAUUAAUAUACAAGUGAAGUAAAGUAAGCGAGAGAGAGAGAAAGAGAGAUUUGGCGACGAUGUUUAGCGGAGAAGCGUCGCCAAAUCGAAAUUAAGAAGAGAAAACGGUGGUUUUUCAGAGAGAGAAUUUGUGAUUAUUAGAUUGACGGAGGAGAUGAUGUUUGUGUGCGAGUGAGAGAGUACUCUUUACUAGACUCUCUUGUGGUUGGUGUGGUUGAGAAAUUCGCCAUUGAAUUCUGAGGUAAUUUACGGAGGUGUGCCACUGGCGCACUGUAUCACUGUUCCGUAGUUACAGAGUAGAGUAGAGUAGAUUAGAUUAGAUUGUACUGCGGGUGCCGUUUUUGGCGGGUUGCCCCGGGCUUUUCCGGGUGGGUUGAUGUGCAUUUUUAGUGGACCACGAUUUACGGAUUCGGACCUUGUGGGUAUAGUGUGG